rnacentral:rRNA from 1 species
GGAAGGAUCAUUCAAAUGCUGUUC